UCACGAGCGCAGCUUUUCUGUUUCCCUUUGGCAAUCACCAUCUCGUCCAUUUUCUCUCUCAUGAGCACUCUUGCCGCUCCCGAGCGUCUUCAUGAGUCUGACACGAGUCUUGUCGUGAACACAAGCAGGUGGGGGGGAAGUCCACUCUCGGCCAGAAAAGUGGGCUGCCAUUUUAGCCUAGAGAAAGAGCAUCUGCGCAUUCACGGCAAAAGCCAGUCAUUAUGACGAUUGUAACAGACUUCCACAUGACACAGUCGGUCCGUAAGAGGAGGCCUCGUGGACUCUCCUCGCCCGAAGCAUCAUGCUACAUGUCAACACCCGCAAGAUCGUAAUCUCACUUCAAAAGCUUCUUUAAUACUCCCUUUGCGCUGACGCUCGCUGGACCUCCGCUUGCUCAAAGCGGGUGGUCUGGCUCCAUUCGUCUUUGUCAGGCAGCAUUAGUGCCAUGAGAGGCAAGUGUAUACACACACACACACACACACACACACACGUGCAUUUACACUACACGCCGGUGCCUCCCAUGGGGAGGGGGUGGGGAGGCCGUGACAGCAGGCCUUGCCAAAGCAGGCCAAUGAAUACAGAUCACCUUGCUCCUCCCAACCACGGAGAGCCAGAGAUCCUUCCGUGGCCCUGUGGGACGCCCAGCCGCUCACACCGGGUCGGGCUGGCUGCGUGUUGCCUGCGCGGGCUCCAUUUGGAUGUACAGUACACGCCUGCCUUGUGUAAACAUUGCGCUGUCAAUAGAUAGGGCAAGCUGUGCCAUACAUGGUGCACUGCAAUCAUGUUUUCUGCCUGUGAGCAUCUCACUGUCUGUCUGUCUAUCCUGCUAUCCAUGCAUCCAUCGCGUUGUACAACUCUAUACUGUAUAUACAGUACAGCUAUCUAUUUUUCCAGAAUGAUACCAUAACAAUAUUACUAUAACUUUCAUGAAAAUUAUUUUUUUAAAGAAAAAUAUCAAUCCAAAUGCAUGUGGAAAGUUCUUUUUUUAAAAUUAGAAUUCACUGACAGUCAUCACCAGGAAUAAAGUCAGCAA